GCCUACGGGGCGCAGCAGUGAGGAAUAUUGGUCAAUGGGCGGGAGCCUGAACCAGCCAAGUCGCGUGAGGGAAGACGGUCCUAUGGAUUGUAAACCUCUUUAGGCGGGGAGCAAUGCCGGGCACGCGUGCCCGGAGAGAGAGUACCCGCAGAAUAAGCAUCGGCUAACUCCGUGCCAGCAGCCGCGGUAAUACGGAGGAUGCGAGCGUUAUCCGGAUUUAUUGGGUUUAAAGGGUGCGUAGGCGGAUUUUUAAGUCAGCGGUAAAAUGUCCGGGCUCAACUCGGGCCGGCCGUUGAAACUGGGGG
rnacentral:rRNA from 1 species